rnacentral:piRNA from 1 species
UGAUUAGUCUCACAUAUAACAUGUGCUCCA